rnacentral:lncRNA from 1 species
CAUAAUCUUCUUUUUCCUCUCUCUCAUCUGAUCAAGGACAAAGGAGAUGUCCUCGGUUCUACAUCCACACAGUCGGCAUUUCCUGGGAUCAGUGGGCCAAUAUCAGGUUUGGCACCAAAUCAAGGAUGUGUGGCAGAGCUAGAGCACAAUGUGCCUUCUCCCCUAUCACCAAGUGUCUCAGCUCAGUGCCAUGAUCCAGGUGUGGACCAGGAACUAUAUCUCCAUCCUAGAUCUGGAUAUCCAUUAAAUCCAACAAAUGCUGGUCUGAAGAUACACCUACCUGGCAGGAGCCAAGACUCUAUUCCAUCACUAGGAGGAGCUCCAGAUGAACUCUCCUCAUGUUUACACCAGCCAGCAGGAGUCACUGUGGAAUCCUCUGGACCAUAUCAUUUCUCGGGUCACCAGAAGAACUUUUUGGAGUAUCAUCAGAAAACUGCUCGGAUCCGAUCUGCCUCUGAGAGCUCCACUAUAUCCAUAACUGAGGAUACCCCACAAUCCCCAAAAGAAGAUAUAGGAGAAGGAGUCACAUCGGAGAAGCCAGCAUUGGAAGAGGCAGAGCAAGAUGAAGCCAAGGAAUCUGGUUUUGGCUGGUUCAGUUGGUUCCGAUCCAAGCCAAAUAAGGAUGCCGAACCUUCUAAGAAAGUACCAGCUUCCCUGUUAAACUCUACUGUUCCUGUUUCCCAGGAGAAAGGAACUCCACCACCUUCCCUUCCUCCUACAGACGAGAUGCGCUCUUCAUCUUUUCCUCCUCGUUUUCCUCCUCUACCUCACACAGAUGGAAACCCUUUUUCCAAAGGCUCUUUGGGUAAAUAUAACUUUAUAUGUCUCUGAGUCAAUUACAAAAAUAUAGUCAACAUGGUUGUGACCAGAAGCACUUUGCAUGCAAGGGUUUUUGUCUAUUUUAAUUCUUGUUGUUAAAAUUUUAUUCAUUUAGAGCCCACUUUUCCACCCAGAACUUGCAAUGCCCUGUUUUCUGUGGCUCCUAGCACCCUACACAACUCACCCAAUGUAGCAGCUUCAUGAGACUG